rnacentral:rRNA from 1 species
UCAGGAUGAACGCUGGCGGCGUGCCUAAUACAUGCAAGUCGAGCGAACAGAUAAGGAGCUUGCUCCUUUGACGUUAGCGGCGGACGGGUGAGUAACACGUGGGUAACCUACCUAUAAGACUGGAAUAACUCCGGGAAACCGGGGCUAAUGCCGGAUAACAUGUUGAACCGCAUGGUUCUACAGUGAAAGACGGUCUUGCUGUCACUUAUAGAUGGACCCGCGCCGUAUUAGCUAGUUGGUGGGGUAACGGCCUACCAAGGCGACGAUACGUAGCCGACCUGAGAGGGUGAUCGGCCACACUGGAACUGAGACACGGUCCAGACUCCUACGGGAGGCAGCAGUAGGGAAUCUUCCGCAAUGGGCGAAAGCCUGACGGAGCAACGCCGCGUGAGUGAUGAAGGUCUUCGGAUCGUAAAGCUCUGUUGUUAGGGAAGAACAAA